AAUUAGGAGAGUAAAGGCUCAUCAACUGAGUUCUUUCCAGAGAGAGGGACCUUGUAAGGCUGACUUUGGAAUAUGACUGCAUUCUGCUGAUUGUAAAGGAGGAAAAGGAUUCUCACAUGACAAUGAAGAGACUGAAGAAGUAUCAUCAAUGGAUAAAGCAGAAUAGAAAUAGCAGCCGCCUGGACCAUACCUAGAAAGGAAUCAUUUUGCCUGGCAGAAGCAUGAAACAGUUCCAUAUUUGAGAUGGCAUUUACCACUGAGGGAAAAAAAAAGUAUCAUGUGAAAGAAGCAAGAAUUGGAUUGACCACACACUUGUCAUUGCCAAUCAGAUGCUGCAAAACAAUGGAUCUAUUUUUCAGAGUUCCGAAAUAAAAUGCUAAUCAAACUAGAAUCUGCUUAUCUAAGACACUGCCAAAUAUGAAGACCAAAUAAAAGAUUUUCAGAUGUGUGAUAAUUCAGAGUUUAUACUCCAAGCAUUCUUUUGUAGAAAGGAACUCAAGGGUGUAUUUCAGCAAAAUAAAGAAGUAAAGUACUAGAGCCAUCACUCAGAGAGCAAAUGACCAGACCAGAUGCUAACAACAAACAUUGUGUGACUUCCUAUCUCCAGCCACUUCUGAAGUCAGAUCUAUUUUCUUGAAUCUUACCACCAUCCAACAUCUUAAAACAUUUAUUAUUUUUAUUGCUUAUUGCCUCUUUUCCCUGCGUGGAGCUCCAUGAGGGCAAGUACUUUUGUUUGUUUUGCUCAUAUAUCCCAAGAGCUGAGGAACAAUGCUUGGCAUAAAGUUGGAGGGCGGUGGCACAGUAUUGGCUCACUGCAACCUCCGUCUCCCAGGUUCAAGUGAUUCUCCUGCCUCAGCCUCCCAAGUAGCUGGGACUACAGGCAAGCACCACCAUGCCCAGCUAAUUUUUGUAUUUUUAGUAGAGACGGGGUUUCACCAUGUUGGCCAGGAUGGUCUUGAUCUCUUGACCUCGUGAUCUGCCUGCCUCGGCCUCCUAAAGUGCUGGGAUUACAGGCAUGAGCCACCACAUCUGGCUUAGUGAUUGAUUUUUUUUAAAGUGUGGUAGAAAUUUCAGUCUAAUACUGCCCUUGUUGCUCAAAAGAUUUUUGAAUAUUUCCUAUGAAAUGGCCCAGAGAGUACAAUAUGCAUUUUUUUCUUCAAUUUUUUUCUCAUUUAUUUCUUCUAGCAAAUUUCUGCUCUUUUGCAUUAAUAUCAUUUUUGAAAAUAGAUAAAAGUUAUGUAGAGCCAAACCCACUGAAUGAAAUGGUGAUAUGCUAUUACUAUUAUCUAGGGUCAAAUGUAAUAUCUCACUCUAAUUAUAUUAAUAUCUUUAUCUAUAUCUAGCUAGUUUUCCAUCUAUCUAUCUAGCUAGCUAGCUAGCUAGCUACUCAAUAUGUCAAUCUGUUUAAUAUGUCAAUAGUAUGCUCAGAAGGGCUUACAACUGAAGACAUUCCAAGACUUAGUGAGGAAGUUCAGCAUAACUGGAAUUUGAAUACACCUCCCAAGAGGGGAAAAAAAAAUUCAUUUACAAAUGUGGGUUCUGGUGGUUUCUUAAAAAAAAACAUAAAAAAACUCUUCCUGCUUUUUUUAAGCUCCAUUUUUUACUUAGGUCAUAAGAUUCUAAACACUUGUAUUGCAUGCAAAUAGGCAGAUUUUAUAAAAAGAAAAGUGUCAUUUUAAAGAAUUGGCUGCGUUGGUCAAGUCAGAGCUCCCUAAGGGAUUUCUGUCCUCAAAGUCACAAUACAGUGAUUCUUUAUAAGAUACUCAAUGCUUGCUUUGGGAUUCUAAAGGGAACAUUAAUAUGUCUCGUAAAAAUAAGGAAUCCUUAAAUGAGUAAUUUGUGUACAACACUGCAGAUAGUGCCUGGCACAUAUGGUGUAUUUAGUAAAAGUUGGUUCCUUUUCCACUGAUCAUGUUUUGAGAAUUCAGUAUCCUCUAUAGUUUUAUUUUACCUUUAUCAGUGGUAGCCUGCAUGUUUUGAACAGGAGCAGGUAUAGAAGUUCAGUAACAGGGGGGGGCAGGGGAGGGAGAGCAUCCAGAUAAAUAGCUACUGCAUGCUGGGCUUAAUACCUAGGUGAUGGGUUGACAGGUGCAACAAACCACCAUGGCACACGUUUUACCUGUGUAACAAACCUGCACAUCCCACACGUGUAUCCUGGAACUUAAAAAAAAUUAAACACAAUUUUUAAAAAAAC